GACGAACGCUGGCGGCGUGCCUAAUACAUGCAAGUAGAACGCUGAAGCGAGGAGCUUCCUCUUCUUGGAUGAGUUGCGAACGGGUGAGUAACGCGUAGGUAACCUGCCUUGUAGCGGGGGAUAACUAUUGGAAACGAUAGCUAAUACCGCAUAACAAUGGAUGACACAUGUCAUUUAUUUGAAAGGGGCAAUUUCUCCACUACAAGAUGGACCUGCGUUGUAUUAGCUAGUAGGUGAGGUAAUGGCUCACCUAGGCGACGAUACAUAGCCGACCUGAGAGGGUGAUCGGCCACACUGGGACUGAGACACGGCCCAGACUCCUACGGGAGGCAGCAGUAGGGAAUCUUCGGCAAUGGGGGCAACCCUGACCGAGCAACGCCGCGUGAGUGAAGAAGGUUUUCGGAUCGUAAAGCUCUGUUGUAAGUCAAGAACGGGUGUGAGAGUGGAAAGUUCACACUGUGACGGUAGCUUACCAGAAAGGGACGGCUAACUACGUG
rnacentral:rRNA from 1 species